rnacentral:rRNA from 1 species
UACCGAGGUCUCAAGCGUUGUUCGGAUUCAUUGGGCGUAAAGGGUGUGUAGGUGGCGCCGUAAGUCGGGUGUGAAAUUUCGGAGCUUAACUCCGAAACUGCAUUCGAUACUGCGGUGCUUGAGGACUGGAGAGGAGACUGGAAUUCAUGGUGUAGCAGUGAAAUGCGUAGAGAUCAUGAGGAAGACCAGUGGCGAAGGCGGGUCUCUGGACAGUUCCUGACACUGAGACACGAAGGCCAGGGGAGCAAACGGG